rnacentral:rRNA from 1 species
GGGGAAUAUUGCGCAAUGGGGGAAACCCUGACGCAGCAACGCCGCGUGAAGGAUGAAGGUUUUCGGAUCGUAAACUUCUUUGAUGAGGGACGAACAAAUGACGGUACCUCAAAAACAAGCCACGGCUAACUACGUGCCAGCAGCCGCGGUAAUACGUAGGUGGCGAGCGUUGUCCGGAAUUACUGGGUGUAAAGGGCGUGUAGGCGGGAAUGCAAGUCAGAUGUGAAGUACCGGGGCUUAACUCCGGGGCUGCAUCUGAAACUGUGUUUCUUGAGUGUCGGAGAGGAAAGUGGAAUUCCCAGUGUAGCGGUGAAAUGCGUAGAUAUUGGGAGGAACACCAGUGGCGAAGGCGACUUUCUGGACGAUAACUGACGCUGAGGCGCGAAAGCGUGGGGAGCAAAC